rnacentral:lncRNA from 1 species
AGUGGGCGUGCAGGAGAAGCUGUAGGUCAGGAGGUAGAGUUGGCAGUGGGCGUGCAGGAGAAGCUGUAGGUCGGAGAGGUAGAGUUGGCAGUGGGCGUGCAGGAGAAGCUGUAGGUCGGAGAGGUAGAGGUGGCAGUGGGCGUGCAGGAGAAGCUGUAGGUCGGGAGGUAGAGGUGGCAGUGGGCGUGCAGGAGAAGCUGUAGGUCAGAGUGGAGAGGUGGCAGUGGGCGUGCAGGAGAAGGUGUAGGUCGGGAGGUAGAGGUGGCAGUGGGCGUGCAGGAGAAGCUGUAGGUC